rnacentral:rRNA from 1 species
AGAGUUUGAUCAUGGCUCAGAGCGAACGCUGGCGGCAGGCUUAACACAUGCAAGUCGAACGGGCAUAGCAAUAUGUCAGUGGCAGACGGGUGAGUAACGCGUGGGAACAUACCUCUUGGUUCGGAACAACACAGGGAAACUUGUGCUAAUACCGGAUAAGCCCUUACGGGGAAAGAUUUAUCGCCGAGAGAUUGGCCCGCGUCUGAUUAGCUAGUUGGUGUGGUAAAAGCGCACCAAGGCGACGAUCAGUAGCUGGUCUGAGAGGAUGAUCAGCCACAUUGGGACUGAGACACGGCCCAAACUCCUACGGGAGGCAGCAGUGGGGAAUAUUGGACAAUGGGCGCAAGCCUGAUCCAGCCAUGCCGCGUGAGUGAUGAAGGCCCUAGGGUUGUAAAGCUCUUUUGUGCGGGAAGAUAAUGACGGUACCGCAAGAAUAAGCCCCGGCUAACUUCGUGCCAGCAGCCGCGGUAAUACGAAGGGGGCUAGCGUUGCUCGGAAUCACUGGGCGUAAAGGGUGCGUAGGCGGGUUUUUAAGUCAGAGGUGAAAUCCUGGAGCUCAACUCCAGAACUGCCUUUGAUACUGAAAGUCUUGAGUAUGGGAGAGGUGAGUGGAACUGCGAGUGUAGAGGUGAAAUUCGUAGAUAUUCGCAAGAACACCAGUGGCGAAGGCGGCUCACUGGCCCAUUACUGACGCUGAGGCACGAAAGCGUGGGGAGCAAACAGGAUUAGAUACCCUAGUAGUCC